GAACGAUGAACCACUUCGGUGGGGAUUAGUGGCGAACGGGUGAGUAACACGUGGGCAAUCUGCCCUGCACUCUGGGACAAGCCCUGGAAACGGGGUCUAAUACCGGAUACUGAUCACUGCAGGCAUCUGUGGUGUUCGAAAGCUCCGGCGGUGCAGGAUGAGCCCGCGGCCUAUCAGCUUGUUGGUGAGGUAAUGGCUCACCAAGGCGACGACGGGUAGCCGGCCUGAGAGGGCGACCGGCCACACUGGGACUGAGACACGGCCCAGACUCCUACGGGAGGCAGCAGUGGGGAAUAUUGCACAAUGGGCGCAAGCCUGAUGCAGCGACGCCGCGUGAGGGAUGACGGCCUUCGGGUUGUAAACCUCUUUCAGCAGGGAAGAAGCGAAAGUGACGGUACCUGCAGAAGAAGCGCCGGCUAACUACGUGCCAGCAGCCGCGGUAAUACGUAGGGCGCGAGCGUUGUCCGGAAUUAUUGGGCGUAAAGAGCUCGUAGGCGGCUUGUCACGUCGGUUGUGAAAGCCCGGGGCUUAACCCCGGGUCUGCAGUCGAUACGGGCAGGCUAGAGUUCGGUAGGGGAGAUCGGAAUUCCUGGUGUAGCGGUGAAAUGCGCAGAUAUCAGGAGGAACACCGGUGGCGAAGGCGGAUCUCUGGGCCGAUACUGACGCUGAGGAGCGAAAGCGUGGGGAGCGAACAGGAUUAGAUACCCUGGUAGUCCACGCCGUAAACGGUGGGCACUAGGUGUGGGCAACAUUCCACGUUGUCCGUGCCGCAGCUAACGCAUUAAGUGCCCCGCCUGGGGAGUAC
rnacentral:rRNA from 1 species